GAUGAACGCUGGCGGCGUGCCUAAUACAUGCAAGUCGAGCGAACAGACGAGGAGCUUGCUCCUCUGACGUUAGCGGCGGACGGGUGUGUAACACGUGGAUAACCUACCUAUAAGACUGGGAUAACUUCGGGAAACCGGUGCUACUACCGGCUAAUAUGGUGAAUCGCAUGGUUCAACAGUGAAAGACGGUCUUGCUGUCACUUAUAGAUGGAUCCGCGCCGCAUUAGCUAGUUGGUAAGGUAACGGCUUACCAAGGCAACGAUGCGUAGCCGACCUGAGAGGGUGAUCGGCCACACUGGAACUGAGACACGGUCCAGACUCCUACGGGAGGCAGCAGUAGGGAAUCUUCCGCAAUGGGCGAAAGCCUGACGGAGCAACGCCGCGUGAGUGAAGAAGGUCUUCGGAUCGUAAAGCUCUGUUAUUAGGGAAGAACAAAUGUGUAAGUAACUAUGCACGUCUUGACGGUACCUGAUCAGAAAGCCACGGCUAACUACGUG
rnacentral:rRNA from 1 species